UUUUCAGUUUCAAAAUUGAAAAAAUUUCGUAUAAAUAGGCUGACGGGCAUCUAUUUUGUAUCAGUUCAAUUACAUUUCGGAAGUGGUAACCACUCUCGAGACAAAAUGAUGAAGCCAGUUCUUUUCGCAUUCCUUUUGGUUGCCCUCUUUGCUGCGUACUCCGCAUCACCAGUCGCUGACGCUGAAGCUGCACCAGCUCCUUGUUGGUGGUGGUGGCUGUUGUUGACAACUACAUCAACAACAACAACUACUACUACUACUACUACAACCACCACCACUACGACCACUACAA